rnacentral:rRNA from 1 species
GAACGCUGGCGGCGUGCUUAACACAUGCAAGUCGAACGGAAAGGCCCUGCUUUUGUGGGGUGCUCGAGUGGCGAACGGGUGAGUAACACGUGAGUAACCUGCCCUUGACUUUGGGAUAACUUCAGGAAACUGGGGCUAAUACCGGAUAGGAGCUCCUGCUGCAUGGUGGGGGUUGGAAAGUUUCGGCGGUUGGGGAUGGACUCGCGGCUUAUCAGCUUGUUGGUGGGGUAGUGGCUUACCAAGGCUUUGACGGGUAGCCGGCCUGAGAGGGUGACCGGCCACAUUGGGACUGAGAUACGGCCCAGACUCCUACGGGAGGCAGCAGUGGGGAAUAUUGCACAAUGGGCGGAAGCCUGAUGCAGCAACGCCGCGUGCGGGAUGACGGCCUUCGGGUUGUAAACCGCUUUCGCCUGUGACGAAGCGUGAGUGACGGUAAUGGGUAAAGAAGCACCGGCUAACUACGUGCCAGCAGCCGCGGUGAUACGUAGGGUGCGAGCGUUGUCCGGAUUUAUUGGGCGUAAAGGGCUCGUAGGUGGUUGAUCGCGUCGGAAGUGUAAUCUUGGGGCUUAACCCUGAGCGUGCUUUCGAUACGGGUUGACUUGAGGAAGGUAGGGGAGAAUGGAAUUCCUGGUGGAGCGGUGGAAUGCGCAGAUAUCAGGAGGAACACCAGUGGCGAAGGCGGUUCUCUGGGCCUUUCCUGACGCUGAGGAGCGAAAGCGUGGGGAGCGAACAGGCUUAGAUACCCUGGUAGUCCACGCUGUAAACGGUGGGUACUAGGUGUGGGGUCCAUUCCACGGGUUCCGUGCCGUAGCUAACGCUUUAAGUACCCCGCCUGGGGAGUACGGCCGCAAGGCUAAAACCCAAAGGAAUUGACGGGGCCCCGCACAAGCGGCGGAGCAUGCGGAUUAAUUCGAUGCAACGCGUAGAACCUUACCUGGGUUUGACAUGGAUCGGGAGUGCUCAGAGAUGGGUGUGCCUCUUUUGGGGUCGGUUCACAGGUGGUGCAUGGCUGUCGUCAGCUCGUGUCGUGAGAUGUUGGGUUAAGUCCCGCAACGAGCGCAACCCUUGUUCACUGUUGCCAGCACGUUAUGGUGGGGACUCAGUGGAGACCGCCGGGGUCAACUCGGAGGAAGGUGGGGAUGACGUCAAGUCAUCAUGCCCCUUAUGUCCAGGGCUUCACGCAUGCUACAAUGGCUGGUACAGAGAGUGGCGAGCCUGUGAGGGUGAGCGAAUCUCGGAAAGCCGGUCUCAGUUCGGAUUGGGGUCUGCAACUCGGCCUCAUGAAGUCGGAGUCGCUAGUAAUCGCAGAUCAGCAACGCUGCGGUGAAUACGUUCCCGGGGCUUGUACACACCGCCCGUCAAGUCAUGAAAGUUGGUAACACCCGAAGCCGGUGGCCUAACCGUUGUGGGGGAGCCGUCGAAGGUGGGACUGGUGAUUAGG